CUCAGUAGAAGCAAAUAUAGGAACACGAGAACCAUUGACUAUCCAAUACGAGUAAUGAAGGAAUAAUACUAAUCUGAUACUAUAUACCUGAUUGCUUAAAUUAAACUUCUCUGAAGCAGUUAGAAGAAUAAAUUAAUUUGAUGAUUCAUGGCCAUAUUCAUGUAAUAAUUGUCUAGAUUUCAUGGUAGAUUAUUUCAGCCACACCUCGUCCUUUUCUUUGAAGCAGUUAGAAGAUUAAAUUAAUUUGAUGAUUGUACUGAGCAUGAGAUUAUGAGUUUAACUGUAUUCUUCAACAGAUGUUGUUGUUGUUGCUGUUGUUGUUGUUGUAGUCUUCAACAGAAUGUCAAUGUAGUUGUUGAAAGUUUAUUUAAUAUACUAGAUACAUCACAUCAUGGUUUAAAUAUAUCUUUUUGAAACUUGUGAAAGAUGCAUAUACAAAAUUUAUCAGAUGUUAAAGUGUCUCAAACAUUUUGGGUAUCCAAAAUGGUAGGCAUAUCCUCUGGUGUGAAAAGCUUUAAGAAACCACAACUGAUGAUUCCAAACUCGUGAUCUUAACCGUUGGGUAUCCACAGAGUGCUUGGCCUUGAGAUAUGAGGCAUUGCUUGUGAGAGAGCAAAAAGAAACCAGUCCUAUGCUGAGCAUUCACUUGAAAAUGGCUUUUGUUCCAUCGCGAAGAAGCAAUGAUUUUUCUUUGAAGUAUGACAUAUCGGACAAGUUGACAAAGAGAUCAACUGCCCUUCCAUGUGAUAUAAGAAUUAAGUUGUGACUGGAACAAGACAAAGCUAUUUCUAGGAUUUGAUUUGCAAGGGACUGUAGAAAGAAAGAAUGCAGUUAUCCAAAAGAAGCAAGGGAAAGGAAAAGCAAGAUGUCAUUUUUAUACCCAAAGAAGUUGUUAUUGAGAUAUUACGAAGGGUACCUGGCCAAGAUUUGGCUGAAAAAUUAAAGAUGGUAUGUAUGCUGUGGUGUUCAAUUAUAUAUAGUGGGAGAUUUGCCUACUCACACAUUGAGCACAAAAUAAAGUCGUCAUCAUUCUCGCAACUUGAAGCAGUUGUAAUUUCUAUGGACGAUGAUGAUCAACAUUCUGUUAGAGUUUCUUCCUUGGAGUGGCACAGUAGUUAUGAUCAAAAUCAUCAUCAAUUCCGAGAUUGGAAGACUAAACACUUAUACACAGCAAACGAUGUACUAUUGGGCCAGAAAUUUUUUCCUUGGAUGCGCAUGAUGAGGGUCAAUUCUGUGAAUGGUUUCGUCUGUUUUUGUCUCAGUUUGAUGAUGCUCGUUUCCAUGUCUUCAAUCCUGUCACUAAAGAGUAUCUCACAACUCCAAAGAAUAUAUAUCUAGGUAUUUAUUCUCAGUUUUAUAAUUUUCUGUGGGGAUCCUGGAAAGGCUCUUUUAUAGUCUUUUUAAGCCUAAGUUCACCAACUGUCAACAUUUAUCCACGAUAGCCUCCUUUCUUUUCAAGAUUACAAAAUCUCACUCUUUAUGGAGGGUUAUCUGUAGAUAUCUUUAGGGUGAUAUACUAGUGUAAAAAUUCUUAACACUGUCAAUGUAUAUAAGUUAAACUCUACAUACAAUUCUCAAAGCCUUUUCGUGAUUCUGCUUUAUUCUACUGGUACUUAUAUAACAGGUAUGCGGGAUAUACCUAUAACUGUGGGCUUUGGAUUUUGCCCACUUUCGUAUGAAUACAAGGUGGUUGUUCUUAAUGAUACAAACUUGAAAGAGACUAAACCUUCGGUUUUCACUAUUGGAACUGAUCAUUCAUGGAGGCCUUUGAAAGAAAUUACUCAUUGUUUUUCAGAUGUUCAGACAGUUGCCUAUGUGAAAGGGGCAUUAUACUGGUACGCACAAAUUUAUACUUAUACCGACAGACAUAAAAUUGAUGAAAUUAAGACAAAAACUCUCAUUUGUUUUGAUGUAACUAAGGAAGAAUUUGAUAUGAUUGUGGUUCCAAUUGAAAGCCCGAAAAAUUGUGUAACAAGCAUAGCAGAAAAGGGUGGAAGGCUUUGUUUGAUAAUCAUAAGUUGUGUUCCUAUUUGCUCCCUCUUGAUCAACGUACAUGUUGCCAACAAUAAUAUUGAUGAUGAUCUGAGUAGCUUAAAUUCAUGGAAGAAAGAGUUCACUGUAACUGCUCCGAGUAUUGCAUAUGCCUUAAAUCUAGAGCUUGUGUACCCCAUAAUUGGUCGUGGUGAUUGGAAUUAAUGAACAUAAGGAAGACUUUGCGUUUUUCGAUGUUGCAAC